GACGUAGGGUGCGAGCGUUGUCCGGAAUUAUUGGGCGUAAAGAGCUCGUAGGCGGUUUGUCACGUCUGCUGUGAAAACUGGAGGCUCAACCUCCAGCCUGCAGUGGGUACGGGCAGACUAGAGUGCGGUAGGGGAGAUUGGAAUUCCUGGUGUAGCGGUGGAAUGCGCAGAUAUCAGGAGGAACACCGGUGGCGAAGGCGGGUCUCUGGGCCGAUACUGACGCUGAGGAGCGGAAAGCGUGGGGGAGCGAACAGG
rnacentral:rRNA from 1 species